UACGAAGGGAACUAGCGUUGUUCGGGUUACUGGGCGUAAAGAGCAUGUAGGCGGAUUGGUCAGUUGGGGGUGAAAGCCCGGAGCUCAACUCCGGAACGGCCUUCAAUACUGCCAGUCUAGAGUCUGUAAGGGGGUGGUGGAAUUCCGAGUGUAGAGGUGAAAUUCGUAGAUAUUCGGAGGAACACCAGUGGCGAAGGCGGCCACCUGGUACAGUACUGACGCUGAGAUGCGAAAGCGUGGGGAGCAAACAGG
rnacentral:rRNA from 1 species